CCUACGGGUGGCAGCAGUGAGGAAUAUUGGUCAAUGGUCGGGAGACUGAACCAGCCAAGCCGCGUGAGGGAGGAAGGUACAGAGUAUCGUCAACCUCUUUUGUCAGGGAACAAAGACUGGGACGCGUCCCCGGAUGAGUGUACCUGAAGAAAAAGCAUCGGCUAACUCUGUGCCAGCAGCCGCGGUAAUACGGGGGAGUCGAGCGUUAUCCGGAUUUAUGGGGUUUAAAGGGUGCGCAGGCGGUCUUUUAAGUCAGAGGUCAAAGCCCGGGUCUCAAACCCGGCCCGCCGUUGAAACUGGCAGUCUCGAGUUGGAGAGAAGUAUGCGGAAUGCGCGGUGUAGCGGUGAAAUGCAUAGAUAUCGCGCAGAACUCCGAUUGCGAAGGCAGCAUGCCGGCUCCACACUGACGCUGAGGCACGAAAGCGUGGGUAUCGAACAGGAUUAGAUACCCGGGUAGUC
rnacentral:rRNA from 1 species